CCACAUCCAAGGAAGGCAGCAGGCACGCAAAUUACCCACUCCCGGCACGGGGAGGUAGUGACAAAAAAUAACGAUACGGGACUCUAUUGAGGCCCCGUAAUCGGAAUGAGUACACUUUAAAUCCUUUAACAAGGAUCCAUUGGAGGGCAAGUCUGGUGCCAGCAGCCGCGGUAAUUCCAGCUCCAAUAGCGUAUAUUAAAGUUGUUGCGGUUAAAAAGCUCGUAGUUGGUUCUGCGUGCCGCGCUGUCGGUUCGCCGCCUGUCGGUGUAACUGGCAUGUCGCGGCAUGUCCUGUCGGUGGUGAACGAUAUUCCUCGACGCAAGCUGAGGCUUAACUGCCAAAGAUUGUGCCGUGUGUAAUGUCGUUUGCCGAUUUCUCCUACUCCGGUGCUCUUAAACGAGUGUCGAAGUAGGCCGACACGUUCACUUUGAACAAAUUAGAGUGCUUAAAGCAGGCUAAAAUAUCUGCCUGAAUAGUGGUGCAUGGAAUGAUAAAAUAGGACCUCGGUUCUAUUUUGUUGGUUUUAGGAAUAUGAGGUAAUGAUCAAUGUGGACUGGCGGGGGCAUUCGUAUUGCGACG
rnacentral:rRNA from 1 species